ACAUUCUCAAAGACACGGUCUGAACCUUCGGGGGAUGCCGUUACUCUUUCGGAUGUGAGCCCUUUUGCUGCAAGGCAAUGGCUUGAAAAUGAUUGUGUUUGCAACCGGCCUCCUUGGUUCGGUUCUCUCAAGUGCAACAGAUGUUAGCUCAUUCGUUACCUCUUGAUGAGAAGCGAUUCCAUUGUCCGGAUGAUCUUACACUCAACCAAAAUACACUCUCAGUGAUUCGAAGGGAUCACUGUUUGAUA
rnacentral:misc_RNA from 1 species